rnacentral:rRNA from 1 species
AGUGAACGCUGGCGGUAGGCCUAACACAUGCAAGUCGAACGGCAGCACAGUAAGAGCUUGCUCUUACGGGUGGCGAGUGGCGGACGGGUGAGGAAUACAUCGGAAUCUACUUUUUCGUGGGGGAUAACGUAGGGAAACUUACGCUAGUACCGCAUACGACCUACGGGUGAAAGCAGGGGAUCUUCGGACCUUGCGCGAUUGAAUGAGCCGAUGUCGGAUUAGCUAGUUGGCGGGGUAAAGGCCCACCAAGGCGACGAUCCGUAGCUGGUCUGAGAGGAUGAUCAGCCACACUGGAACUGAGACACGGUCCAGACUCCUACGGGAGGCAGCAGUGGGGAAUAUUGGACAAUGGGCGCAAGCCUGAUCCAGCCAUACCGCGUGGGUGAAGAAGGCCUUCGGGUCGUAAAGCCCUUUUGUUGGGAAAGAAAAGCAGCAGGUUAAUACCCCGCUGUUCUGACGGUACCCAAAGAAUAAGCACCGGCUAACUUCGUG